GUUGAACGAGGGCCAGUCACGCCUGGAUUGACGCCAAGAAGAAUUGUGAAUGUUUGGGACGCAUCUCGUCGGACUUCCUAGCGCUGAAUUCAUCACCCGCAUCGCAUCAUGGACUUGGACAAACUGAAGGUGGCCGAGUUGAGGACGGAAUUGGCCAGCCGCAGCCUCGACACCAAGGGCACCAAACCCGUGCUCUUGGCCAGACUUCGCGAGGCCAUCCGACAAAGCGCACCGGAGUCAGACUCACCGGAACCGGAAAUGGUCGAGGCCGAGCAAGUGGAAGCGGUUGAGCCCGAACCAGCAGCGGCCACGGCUUCAUCUGGUGACACUGCCGUUGAAGCCGACAAAGACGAAGAUGAAGAGGCGGAGGAAGAGGUGGAAGAAGAGGCGGAAGAAGUGACAGAGGAAGAAGAAAAAGUCGUGGAGACAAAUGCAGCUGAGCCUAUGGAUCAGACUGCUGACACCAAUGGUGACACCCAUACGGAAGAAAAGAAGGAAGACGAAACCAUGGCGGUGAAGACAGAGGAAGAAAAAUCACCCGAGCAAACUGAGGACGAAUCCAAAAAGACCCAAGACAAGGAAGAUGAGGGCAAAGCAGCCAACAACAAGCAGAGACGUGGCCAAAAGCGAAAAAUGGACGAUGAACCUUUCGUGGUGACUGAGGAUGAGCCGGAAAUCGAUGAAUCCGUCACUUGCUUAGAUUGGUACAAUUCGGAUAUGAACCUAAAGAUCACCAAAGAGGACAUGAUGACAGCCGAGCCUUUCUGGAAAGACGGAUGGGGCUACGUUUGGGCUGGUGUGAGGUCUACCUAUGGCUUCACCCAAGGCAAAGUGGCCUUCGAAGUCAAAUUGUUGGACCAUAUGGAAUCGAAAUUGGAGAACGAGAAGAACCUGCACGAAUUAAGGAUCGGGUUUUCGUCGGACGAGCCCUCGCUGCAAUUGGGCGAGUCCAAGAACUCGUUCUGCUACUCAGGAUCUGGAAAGAAGGGUCACGAUUCGGUUUUCGAGGACUUCGGAGCCACCUUCACCAAAGAAGAUGUAGUCGGAGCUUGAGUGGAAUUUGCCGAUGACAAAGUCAAGAUCUCUUUCACCAAGAACGGCGAGGCCCAAGGCGAAGCUUUCGAAGUGGCUCAAUCCGAGCUGGAAGACAAGGCACUCUUCCCUCAUAUUAGCACUCGAAACGUUAAGUUUGAGGUCAACUUUGGCAAGACUCUCGAAGGAGAAGAUCGAGAGGCGUGGAAACCGAUCCCAGAAGGUUUCGUGAUGGCCGCCAAUGUGGAGGAUAAGGUUCGUGGACCAUCUAGGAUCGCGAAACGCGAGGAUUGUGAGAUGCUCAUGAUGAUCGGUUUGCCCGCAUCGGGCAAGACCACUUGGGUCAGGAAACAAGUCGAGGAACAUCCUGAGAAACGCUAUAGCAUAAUAGGGACAGCUGCUCUCAUCGAGAAGAUGAAGGUUAAUGGAGAGCCGAGGAAGCAACACCAUGAGAAAGACAAGUGGGAUGCACUCAUUCAAAAGUGCACCAGAUGUCUUCAGGAUUGGCUUCGAGUGGCCUCGCAAAGGCGAAGGAACAUUGUCAUUGACCAGACUAAUGUCUACGCAAAUGCACAAAAACGCAAAGUGCGCCCUUUCGAGGGUAUGCUACGUAAAGCCGUGGUUAUAGUGCCCUCUGAGGAGGACUAUAAGGCCAGGGGAGAUUCGCAGGAAAAGGCAGAAUGCAAGGACGUGCCUGAUACAGCUGUCAUGGAAAUGAAAGCCAAUUUUACGGUCCCAGCGGAGGGCGAAGAAUCGCCAUUCAAAGAAAUCGUUUUCACAGACCUUCAACGGGAAGAAGCUACCAAAUUAGUGGAAACAUAUAACAAGGAUGCUAAGGAAAAAGGCUACGGAAAGAAGCACGAACAACGCAACAAGCGUUUCAGAGGCACCUUCAACAAGAAUCGCGGAGGCCGCGUUGCUCGAGGCGGAGGCCGUGGAAUGCCUCCCGGGCGCAUGCCUCCAUUCUUCAGGGGUGGAAUGCGGGGAAUGCCACCCCGUGGCUUCCCCAUGAGACCUCCCAUGAGAGGAGGCAUGGGUGGUCCUAUGCGUGGACCUCCUCAUAGAUGGGGCCCUCUCCAAGGCAUGCCCAUGGGUGGACCUCCACGAGGAGGUGGGAAUAUGCCUGGACCUCGCGGGGGUGGACCUCGAGGAGGUCGUGGAAACAUGGCGCCCCGAGGAAGCAUGGCGCCCCGUGGAAGCAUGGCGCCCCGUGGAAGCAUGGCGCCCCGUGGAAACAUGGCUCCCCGUGGGAACAUGGGUGGUCCAAGGAACAGCAUGGGACCUCGUGGAGGCGGUGGAGGUCACGGAGGCCCCCAGAAGUAUGGCGGAGUUGGAGGUGGUAGUGCCCCUUGGGGCAAUCCUGCUCCCUGGAGCCAAAACCAAAGACCCUCCGCAGGUCCGUGGGGCAAUGGUGGCGGAGGAGGCGGCCCAUGGAGCCAGGGAGGUGGAAAUCAGAUGGGUGGUGGAAGCCCUUGGGGUAACCAAGGUGGCAUGAAUCAACAGCAACCACAACGUGGCAUGAUGGGUGGAUACGGAUCCCGACCUACCAACAAUGUCUGGGGAGGAAAUCAAGGUGGAGGAGGAGGAAACUUCAACCAAGGCGGCGGAUUCGGUGGGGGCGGCAACAAUGCGUGGGGAGGCGGCUUUGGCGGCGGGUAUGGCGGUGGAUAUGGUCGAUGAUGAGCGCCUUAAUCAUCUUUAUCGUACUUUACUUUGGAUCUUCGUAUGAGAACGUAUGAAGAACAACUUAGUACAAGAUUCUUCGAAGUAUUUUCGCGAACCCUCCUAAAAACCCACUCUUAGAACCAUGAACCCACUAGUUCCGUGUAUUAUCAAUGAUGUCCUCUCAUCUCAUGUCAUGUCAACACUUGCAAAUUGUGUAACCCACUCCAAUCUUCAUGUUUUGUACCUCAUAUAUUUAAGGAUUACUGAAAAAUACAACACUUUUUUCGCCCUCCA